CUCUCAAGAGAAAUGAAAAUGAUAAGAGUGUUUUCGAACUUUUCAUUUAUUUCUUUCCAUAAACAUGAAAAACAAAAAAUGAAGAAAAUAGGAACAAUACCAAACAAAUAUGUAUUCAAAAAAGAACUGUCAUAACGGUUUCAUGAAGCCAACGCAACAAACUUUUUCGACUACUUGCAAUGCAAAUUAAUGUGUAACCAUAAACAACUCAGAACAGGGUCACCCAACAUUUCAACCAGCUAAAAUACAGCCUUUUUCACCAACUUAGGUUUUAUAUUUUCCUCACUCUCA
rnacentral:lncRNA from 1 species